UACGAGUGCCUCAAGCGUUAUCCGGAAUCAUUGGGCGUAAAGGGUGUGUAGGUGGUUAUGUUAGUCUUGCGUUAAAUUUCCUGGCUCAACCGGGAAGCUGCGUGGGAAACGGCAUGACUUGAGGACGGUAGGGGUCUCUGGAACUCAUAGUGUAGCGGUGAAAUGCGUUGAUAUUAUGGGGAACACCGAAAGCGAAGGCAAGAGACUGGACCGCUCCUGACACUGAAACACGAAAGCGUGGGUCGCGAAUGGGG
rnacentral:rRNA from 1 species